AACCUACUCCUGCGGCUCUGAUUACAAUAUUUACGCAAGUGUACCUCAAAGCUCAAUACGGACAUUACAUUUUAGCUUCCGGUCUUCCACCGAUAUGGAACACAAGACUCCGUAGUAUUUAUGUAACUUUGUUAACAGCGGCACAUUGCUGAAAUGCUCACGUGGGUGAUGACGCACAUCGCUGCCAAAAUAAUUUUAGUUCGAUUGGAAUGUGCUGUCGAAUUCGAAUCCACUCCCUGUCAAUUUAUAUUUGUAAAUCUAUAUUUUUCGUUUUCUGUUAAAAAUAUAAAUUUAUUCAACACAUUGCCAAAUGCAUUGUUAUCCUAAACUAAGUGGAGAUUUUUCCUUCUUG